CCUUCUGCUCCUCACCCUGAUUUCAAAAGAUUUCUGACAUCGUACAUCAAGAAAGAUCAGUAGAAACCUGACUUUCAGCAGCACAAAGAUCUCAUCCCAGCCUAUGCGGAGCCUGUGGUACCAGUAAAGAGCCUCCUCCACUCAGUCUGCUUCAUGACGACCAAAUUCUUCCAACCUUCAUAAUUCGAUAAUUCUAUGAUUUUAUAGCAACAGAAAAAUCAUGAUAUAUUUGCUGGAAAAGCCCCUCCCUCUGUGAAGGACUAGGAAUCAGAAUGGGGAAAAGCUCAGAAGUGGAAAAGGAUGUACAGUGAUUGAACGGACUUUACGAUGCAGACUUUAUAGUUAUUAUGUACACACACAUUGAGACAGCCCCCGUUCGCCCUUUCCUCCCCUGGUUCCUCCUGCGCUCCUCCCCUUUUUGCCCGUGUCCCUACCUUGGUUUGUCCCCCCGCUUGUCUGUCUCAUGCUCCGCCCUGUCUUCUGGCCCUUUGCCCUCCCGAGCUGAUAAAGACUGGGUGCACACGUGAAUAAAGCAUUCUACCUGCAUCCCA